UGUAAAUCGAGUUGUGGUCAAAAAAUCUUGAGCCAAAUACGAUUGACUUCAGCAGAUCGCAAUAAACUUUGUCAUUUGAUUAUUGACAAACUUCUUAGCAAAUCUAAAAAAAUAACUUCUGAACAAUUUCAAGACUGGUCUGCAGCAAUAAGUAAUGUUAUUAAAUAUGAAAAAGCAUCGACGUACUAUGUUCCAUCGAAUGCAAAAUUUAAACGUCUUGCUAGCGGUAAACUUUGGGAUAAGUACAAUAAUCUAAAAAAAUACAUCAAGCAACAAAAAGCAAUAGAUGAAGACGAAAAUAUCGAAAAUAUCCCUGAUUGUCAACAAGAAAUAUUACUCAAAUUACGUGCAAUUCAACCGGAUGAUCCAAAUCUAAAAUAUCUAUGGAAAGAAACAUUUAAGGCAAGGAAUAGAGGGACUUCAAUUAUUAAUUAUUAUGAAGAAUAUCCUAUCUUAAAAACUUCUAUUGGUGCCAUAUUGUUACAAACUGAUUUUGAGACAGAAACAGGAAUAGAUGCGCAUAGUUUUCCAAAAAAGUGGUCUACAAUUGCUCCAUAUAUAUUAGAUCUUGCUGCAAAAAAAGAAAUAUGCCCAUNAUUGUGUGAACUGCAUAAU